AUUGAACGCUGGCGGCAUGCCUAACACAUGCAAGUCGAACGAAGGGCUUCGGUUCUUAGUGGCGGACGGGUGAGUAAUACGUAGGGAUCUGCCCUGCGGUGGGGGACAACCUGGGGAAACCCAGGCUAAUACCGCAUACGCUCUGUGGAGGAAAGCGGGGGACUUUAGGGCCUCGCGCCGAAGGAUGAACCUACGUCCGAUUAGCUAGUUGGUGAGGUAAGGGCUCACCAAGGCGACGAUCGGUAGCUGGUCUGAGAGGAUGGCCAGCCACACUGGGACUGAGACACGGCCCAGACUCCUACGGGAGGCAGCAGUGGGGAAUAUUGGACAAUGGGGGAAACCCUGAUCCAGCAAUGCCGCGUGGGUGAAGACGGCCUGCGGGUUGUAAAGCCCUUUAGGCGGGGAGGAAAGGCAUCGUGCGAACAGUGCGAUGUUUUGACGUUACCCGCAGAAUAAGCACCGGCUAACUCCGUG
rnacentral:rRNA from 1 species